ACAAUUCAUUGUCUUUUCUUCCAUUUCUUUGUAAACUAUUUUCUUUAGAUAUUCCACAUAUUGUGAACUCUGUAAUUGUCUUUCUAUUCUUCCAUUUGGUAGGAAACUUGCCAUGAUCACACAUCCUUAAUGGAUUAUAUUAUCAUACAUGGACAUGAAAUUCUUGUGGAUCAUAUGGAAUAUCUUCCCCAGCAAUGUCAUUUGUUCAAUAUUCAGAGAACCAAGAAAAUAAAACUAAAAACACAUGUUCAUUUUACUGGACCCAAGAGUGUAUGGGUUUGUCCAAUAAGCAAAUAAUUACAAUAUUAUGUAUGCUUAUGAGCAGAAAUUAUUGUUAGCUUGAAAAUUGAUUAAGAAUAAGGGCUAUUCCUUUAAGUUGUG
rnacentral:misc_RNA from 1 species